GAUGAACGCUGGCGGCGUGCCUAAUACAUGCAAGUCGAGCGAACAGACGAGGAGCUUGCUCCUCUGACGUUAGCGGCGGACGGGUGAGUAACACGUGGAUAACCUACCUAUAAGACUGGGAUAACUUCGGGAAACCGGAGCUAAUACCGGAUAAUAUAUUGAACCGCAUGGUUCAAUAGUGAAAGACGGUUUUGCUGUCACUUAUAGAUGGAUCCGCGCCGCAUUAGCUAGUUGGUAAGGUAACGGCUUACCAAGGCAACGAUGCGUAGCCGACCUGAGAGGGUGAUCGGCCACACUGGAACUGGGACACGGUCCAGACUACUACGGGAGGCAGCAGUAGGGAAUCUUCCGCAAUGGGCGAAAGCCUGACGGAGCAACGGCGCGUGAGUGAUGAAGGUCUUCGGAUCGUAAAACUCUGUUAUUAGGGAAGAACAAAUGUGUAAGUAACUAUGCACGUCUUGACGGUACCUAAUCAGAAAGCCACGGCUAACUACGUG
rnacentral:rRNA from 1 species